GGGGAAUCUUAGACAAUGGGGGGAACCCUGAUCUAGCCAUGCCGCGUGAGUGAUGAAGGCCCUAGGGUCGUAAAGCUCUUUCGCCAGGGAUGAUAAUGACAGUACCUGGUAAAGAAACCCCGGCUAACUCCGUGCCAGCAGCCGCGGUAAUACGGAGGGGGUUAGCGUUGUUCGGAAUUACUGGGCGUAAAGCGCGCGUAGGCGGAUUAGAAAGUUGGGGGUGAAAUCCCGGGGCUCAACCCCGGAACUGCCUCCAAAACUACUAGUCUAGAGUUCGAGAGAGGUGAGUGGAAUUCCGAGUGUAGAGGUGAAAUUCGUAGAUAUUCGGAGGAACACCAGUGGCGAAGGCGGCUCUCUGGCUCGAUACUGACGCUGAGGUGCGAAAGUGUGGGGAGCAAACAGGAUUAGAUACCCUGGUAGUCCACACCGUAAACGAUGAAUGCCAGACGUCGGGGCGCUUGCGCUUCGGUGUCACACCUAACGGAUUAAGCAUUCCGCCUGGGGAGUACGGUCGCAAGAUUAAAACUCAAAGGAAUUGACGGA
rnacentral:rRNA from 1 species